CAGCCCGCGCCCCGUAAAACGGGACGGCCCGCCAGAGGACCCAAACUCUAAUGUUUCUUAUUGUAACUUCUGAGUAAAACAAACAAAUAAAUCAAAACUUUCAACAACGGAUCUCUUGGUUCUGGCAUCGAUGAAGAACGCAGCAAAAUGCGAUAAGUAAUGUGAAUUGCAGAAUUCAGUGAAUCAUCGAAUCUUUGAACGCACAUUGCGCCCGCUGGUAUUCCGGCGGGCAUGCCUGUUCGAGCGUCAUUUCAACCCUCAAGCCCUCGGGUUUGGUGUUGGGGAUCGGCUCUGCCCUUCUGGGCGGUGCCGCCCCCGAAAUACAUUGGCGGUCUCGCUGCAGCCUCCAUUGCGUAGUAGCUAACACCUCGCAACUGGAACGCGGCGCGGCCAUGCCGUAAAACCCCAACUUCUGAAUGUUGACCUCGGAUCAGGUAGGAAUACCCGCUGAACUUAAGCAUAU
rnacentral:rRNA from 1 species